rnacentral:tRNA from 1 species
GUUUUAAUAAUUUAAUAAAAAUAUUGGUCUUGUAAACCAAAAAUGAAAUAUAAUUCUUAAAACA